UGGGGAAUAUUGCACAAUGGGCGCAAGCCUGAUGCAGCCAUGCCGCGUGUGUGAAGAAGGCCUUCGGGUUGUAAAGCACUUUCAGCGAGGAGGAAGGUGGUGAGCUUAAUACGCUCAUCAAUUGACGUUACUCGCAGAAGAAGCACCGGCUAACUCCGUGCCAGCAGCCGCGGUAAUACGGAGGGUGCAAGCGUUAAUCGGAAUUACUGGGCGUAAAGCGCACGCAGGCGGUUUGUUAAGUCAGAUGUGAAAUCCCCGGGCUCAACCUGGGAACUGCAUUUGAAACUGGCAAGCUAGAGUCUCGUAGAGGGGGUAGAAUUCCAGGUGUAGCGGUGAAAUGCGUAGAGAUCUGGAGGAAUACCGGUGGCGAAGGCGGCCCCCCUGGACGAAGACUGACGCUCAGGUGCG
rnacentral:rRNA from 1 species